GACGAACCGUGCGAACGUUGUUCGGAAUCACUGGGCUUAAAGGGCGCGUAGGCGGCGGCGUAAGUUGGAAGUGAAAUCCCAUCGGCUCAACCGUGGAAUUGCUCCCAGUACUGCGUCGCUCGAGGGGGAUAGGGGUCUGCGGAACUACCGGUGGAGCGGUGAAAUGUGUUGAUAUCGGUGGGAACGCCAGUGGCGAAAGCGGCAGACUUGACCCUUCCUGACGCUGAGGCGCGAAAGCUAGGGGAGCAAACGGG
rnacentral:rRNA from 1 species